GCCUGGUUGGCUUAGUUUGUUAAGCAUCUGACUCUUGAUCUCAGCUCAGGUCUUGGUGUAAGGGUUGUGAGUUCAAGCCCCAUAUUGGGCU
rfam:Canis lupus familiaris chromosome 33, whole genome shotgun sequence.